rnacentral:lncRNA from 10 species
GGGUCCCGGCGAGCUCCAGCUGGUGGCGCAGAGUCCGGCUGUGUUCCGAAGUGACUUUCCUAGUCACGCCGCUUCCCCGGCCCCGGGAAGGGUGGGGCGCCGAGCAGGGCACCCCGGGCCGUCCGCGGCGUUUCCUGCGGUGGGCGGAGGAUACUGAACCUAUGUGGUGCGGACUACUCGGUGGCUUCGUGGUAAAAAUCCGGCCGCUCCGCAAAGUGUAAAGAAGAACUUUAAAACCUCUCGGGCAGACAGGCACCGUGGCCCUCAUUUUAUACACGAAGAAACAAGCUGGGGAGGCCAAGGGCCUGGCCCCGGGGGAGGCGGGCAGCGGGUUUCAUGGGUGCCAGGGCAGUCCCGCCCGACUUAGCGUUAGGCUCCUUGCGGCAGGUGCGAUCCGUAGCCCUUUCUAGGUUCUGAACACGUGGCGUUAGCCAGCCACCUAGAUGCUGCGUGGGUGGGCCCGCAGGGGCGCCCAUGAACCCACGUUCAAAUCCUGUCACUGUGACUCACCAUCUGCGUUACCUCCAGCACAUCGUAGGACUUUCAAGCCAGGAAGUUCAAGUGAGAUAAACGUAGCCUGGGAUUGCUGGGCAAGCUAAACUCCCCAUUACCAGGCGAUAAGAAGGGAAGGGAUCUAGCAUUUGUUAGAUACCUAAGGUCUCCCAGCCAGGCACUUCCCAUACCGCAUUUAAGCCUCGCAACACCCUACCAGCUGUUACCAUCCCCUUUUUACCGCAGGGGGAAACCGAGUCUGUAACUUGUUGAUCUGUAUGGAGAUUGGAUCCCUGACCCUCUGACCUCUUUUUAGUGAGGGAUUAGAGAAGAGGGCAAGCCUCAAGGGGCCGCUUGGGCCGGCAUACCCUGGAUCGAGCCUGCGAUCUCACUGGGGCACUUGAGGACGUCCGGGGCUAUUACAAAUAUUGCUUCCAAGUUGGGGCUCCUUGUAAAACCCGGCGAAGGAGCCUCGGGGCCAGAAGGCGAGCAGGAGGAGGGGGAAGACUGAUGUGGCAAUCCUGCGGCCAGAGCGAGAGGAGGAAGGAAGGUCAGGAAAUGAUUAACCGGGCCGGGCAGUGGUUAGAGCCGGGCACCUCCCCGCAAUGCAGUCCUAGAGCAGCCAGGGACGCCCCGUCAAUCACUUCUUACUCCUCCCUACCUCCCACGCCACAAGUCGGCCUCUUCCGCAUAGACCUCUGCCUAAUGGUAUCCACCCACCGGGGGCACCUCUGCUCAUCCUUUCCCCAGAAGUAUUUCUGGGUCCUCAAAGAUCUGUCCUUUUCCAAGUGGUAUUUGCUGUUAGAGCAAGCCUCGGCCUGGGAUUUUUAUGGCAGUGAUGCGUUGUGGAAAGUGCGUCUGCCUAGGAAGGCAGGCCGGCAUGCUUUCAAAUCUUAGCUCUGCUGCCUACUUGACGGCCAGGCUUAGCAAGCGUCUCUAGCCGUUCCAAGCCUUUUCUAGAUCUGUAAAACUGGAAGAAGAAUACUUGUCUCGCAAGGAACAUGUGAGAAUUCAUGAAAAUUGCCACCACAUACUAGGUGGCCAAUAAAUUAUAACUUUGUAUUUGUUUUUACUGACACUAGAUGAGAGCUGC